GUGGGGAAUUUUGGACAAUGGGCGCAAGCCUGAUCCAGCAAUGCCGCGUGCAGGAAGAAGGCCUUCGGGUCGUAAACUGCUUUUGUACGGAACGAAAAGGCUCUGGUUAAUACCUGGGGCUCAUGACGGUACCGUAAGAAUAAGCACCGGCUAACUACGUGCCAGCAGCCGCGGUAAUACGUAGGGUGCAAGCGUUAAUCGGAAUUACUGGGCGUAAAGCGUGCGCAGGCGGGUUUGUAAGACAGACGUGAAAUCCCCGGGCUCAACCUGGGAAUGGCGUUUGUGACUGCAAAGCUGGAGUGCGGCAGAGGGGGAUGGAAUUCCGCGUGUAGCAGUGAAAUGCGUAGAUAUGCGGAGGAACACCGAUGGCGAAGGCAAUCCCCUGGGCCUGCACUGACGCUCAUGCACGAAAGCGUGGGGAGCAAACAGGAUUAGAAACCCCUGUAGUCC
rnacentral:rRNA from 1 species